rnacentral:rRNA from 1 species
UAAUACGGAAUGUGCAAACGCUAUUCGGAAUCACUGGGCUUAAAGAGUCCGUAGGCGGCUUGUUAGGUGAGGUGUGAAAUCCCUCGGCCCAACCGAGGAAUUGCGCUUCAAACCGGCAAGCUAGAGGAGGAUAGAGGUGGGCGGAACUGAUGGUGGAGCGGUGAAAUGCGUUGAUAUCAUCAGGAACACCGGAGGCGAAGGCGGUCCACUGGGUCCUUUCUGACGCUGAGGGACGAAAGCUAGGGGAGCGAACG